AUACGUAGGUUGCAAGCGUUGUCCGGAUUUACUGGGUGUAAAGGGCGUGUAGGCGGGAUCGCAAGUCAGAUGUGAAAUGCGGAGGCUCAACCUCCGAACUGCAUUUGAAACUGCGGUUCUUGAGUGAUGGAGAGGUAAGUGGAAUUCCUAGUGUAGCGGUGAAAUGCGUAGAUAUUAGGAGGAACACCAGUAGCGAAGGCGGCUUUCUGGACUGUAACUGACACUGAGGCACGAAAGCGUGGGGAGC
rnacentral:rRNA from 1 species